rnacentral:rRNA from 1 species
AGCGCAGGCGGGAAGGCAAGUUGGAAGUGAAAUCUAUGGGCUCAACCCAUAAACUGCUUUCAAAACUGUUUUUCUUGAGUAGUGCAGAGGUAGGCGGAAUUCCCGGUGUAGCGGUGGAAUGCGUAGAUAUCGGGAGGAACACCAGUGGCGAAGGCGGCCUACUGGGCACCAACUGACGCUGAGGCUCGAAAGCUAGGGUAGGCAACG